rnacentral:rRNA from 1 species
AUUGAACGCUGGCGGCAUGCCUUACACAUGCAAGUCGAACGGCAGCACGGGAGCAAUCCUGGUGGCGAGUGGCGAACGGGUGAGUAAUACAUCGGAACGUGCCCAAUCGUGGGGGAUAACGCAGCGAAAGCUGUGCUAAUACCGCAUACGAUCUACGGAUGAAAGCAGGGGAUCGCAAGACCUUGCGCGAAUGGAGCGGCCGAUGGCAGAUUAGGUAGUUGGUGAGGUAAAGGCUCACCAAGCCGUCGAUCUGUAGCUGGUCUGAGAGGACGACCAGCCACACUGGGACUGAGACACGGCCCAGACUCCUACGGGAGGCAGCAGUGGGGAAUUUUGGACAAUGGGCGAAAGCCUGAUCCAGCCAUGCCGCGUGCAGGAUGAAGGCCUUCGGGUUGUAAACUGCUUUUGUACGGAACGAAACGGCCUUUUCUAAUAAAGAGGGCUAAUGACGGUACCGUAAGAAUAAGCACCGGCUAACUACGUGCCAGCAGCCGCGGUAAUACGUAGGGUGCAAGCGUUAAUCGGAAUUACUGUGCGUAACCGUGCGCAGCUGUUAUGUAAGACAGUUUGUUAAUCCCCGGGUUUCGACAUGGGAACUGGAUCUGUG